GGGGCAGACUGGCGAAUCUACUGGCGAACCCGGCCUAAAGUACCUGCAAACGACCAGUUUCUAGGCGGUCUCGAAAACCGUUGUCCGUCGUUAGGCGGAUCGAGGGUUCGAAUCCCUCCCCCU
rnacentral:tRNA from 1 species